UACGGAGGGUGCGAGCGUUGUCCGGAAUCACUGGGCGUAAAGGGCGCGUAGGUGGCGCGGGCAGUCAACGGUGAAAGUUCGGGGCUCAACCCUGAAUCGGCCGUCGAUACUCCCGGGCUUGAGCACUGUAGAGGCAGAUGGAAUUCCGGGUGUAGCGGUGGAAUGCGUAGAGAUCCGGAAGAACACCGGUGGCGAAGGCGGCUCACUGGACUGGUAUUGACGCUGAGGUGCGAAAGCGUGGGGAGCAAACAGG
rnacentral:rRNA from 1 species